CACGUAGGGGGCAAGCGUUGUCCGGAUUUAUUGGGCGUAAAGAGCUCGUAGGUGGUUCGGUAAGUCAGGUGUGAAACCUCCAGGCUCAACCUGGAGACGCCACUUGAUACUGCUGUGACUGGAGUCCGGUAGGGGAGCGUGGAAUUCCUGGUGUAGCGGUGAAAUGCGCAGAUAUCAGGAGGACCACCAGCGGCGAAGGCGGCGCUCUGGGCCGGUACUGACACUGAGGAGCGAAAGCGUGGGUAGCAAACAGG
rnacentral:rRNA from 1 species